rnacentral:lncRNA from 1 species
GGAAAAUUAGUGCCUGGCCGUGCAAAUCACCAGGGCUUUUGGAGGCCUUGUUACACUGUGAAAACAAGGAACAGCAGAACACAGGAGGUAGACACAGGAAAAUAUGAAUGUCAAGAUCAUUCUAAGCAUGUCUAUGAACUGACUGAGUCCAUUUCAAAGGAAAGGUAAUAUAUGGUCUGUGCUAUUUUAUACUGGAAGUAGGUAACUUGC